rnacentral:lncRNA from 1 species
GGAUCAAUGAUGAAUGUCUGUGAGCAUUCUUAGAGUCAUGAAUCAUGACGACAAAUUUAAUUCUGAGAUCAACAUCAUAAAGUAUCCAGUGACAGCUAUAAGAAGUAGUCUUCUUUUAUAAGUCAGUAAAUGUAAAUAAAAAUUGACUAGGAAGUCAUUUAAUCAAAAGGCAGCUCACAAAGAAGACUACAUAUAUGUAUAUAUGUAUAUAUGUAAGAAGAAAGUGUGACAGAGUAAUGACCAUGGAGGUGAGGGAUAAGAUGAAAUGAGCAGAAGCAGGCAGAAUACAUAGAUAAGCGAACGGAACAUCAAUCUCUUUAUAACCUCUUCUGUCUAUACUUCAAGAAUGGAUAUCCUGCAAGUCGGCUUCGUAGAGUCUCCCUUGAAAGUGGACCUCAUGAUCUAGCCUUUAUGUCCGUGGAUUGACACUGUGAUGGAUUCCCCCCAAGUUCAUUUAGAUAUUCUCUCUUAUUCAUAAAUGUCACGGUCAGCUCUGUUCUUAUAGAUACCAGAAUGGAUACCCCUAAGCUGAUGUAUAUACACCCUUCCUCGGUUGUGAGAUUCCUGCUCUGGUGGUUGUAGUCAUAAGAUAUACAUCGUUGCGUACACCUUGGUUGUGGGCACGCACACUACUGUUGAAUUACCACCUUGUCCAAGUGGAUGGAUGCCCUCAAUGGGAUUGGCACUUUCUCCAUUGCUCCUGCACUCUGUUAUCAGCACUUCGGGUUCAUAAUGUACACACAGCAAUGGAUUUUCUGCAGCUGAUUUUCUAUAUUCUGUUUUCUUCGGGUAAGCAGAAUGCCUUCCUCACUGGUCACCAGGUUCAAGGUCCCUCAUAUGUGUCAGGUGCAUAGUCACCAACAAAGGCCAACUUCACAUCAAUGGGUGGAUCGUACCUCGGCCUAAGCUCCAGGAUUGAUUGUGCUGUUAGAGUCACAGCUACAACCGGCUCAGGGAACCCAGUGGAAGAGGAGGUGGAGUGUGAGAGCCAAUUGGAAUGGAAGACAGUGAGGAAACAAGGCCUUCGAGACACAAGAGGACUGCUGAGCUCACAAAGACUGAGGCAGCACCCUCAGGACCUGCACAGGUCUAAGCUUGAUGCGAUCUGAGUACUGAGAGGGCAACUGGACACAAUUCUAUAUUGAUAACCCAGAAGCUUUCUCCAGUUGAUAAACUCUUUCAAAGGAAAAACUUGUUUUCUACCAUGGAGUGACACUGGAUAUAGAAACUACCGUUAACAGCAGACUCCAUGGCUCAGACUUCCAAUACAAUAUGAACUCAGUUGCAAUUUUUUGCAAGGUUUUUCGACUCAUAGUUCUUUGUCUGGGUACUUUUUCACCCUACAGAGAAUUUCUGUAUAUAUUAUCGUUUCUGAUUCUAGUGUUUUGAAUUUUCGCUGGGUCUAAAUAUCUCUGUCUCAGUGUCAGUAUGUGUUUCUCAUGAUUUUUCUUUGCUUCUCUUUUUCCUAUUCUUUGCUUGUAUUCCCUGGUUUGUGUUUGAGUGUCUGGGAACUCUGAGGGUCUGGUUGGUGAUAUUGUUGUUCUUCCUAUGGGGUUGAAAACCCCUUCAGCUCCUUCAGCCUUUCACUAAGUCCUCCAUUAUUAUGAUUCCUAUGCUCAGUCCAGUGGUUGGAUGUGAGCCCCCCCCCCCC